GGUGACGGCAGGGUGCUCUGGGCUGCGCUGGUCACUGCAAAGUCCUGCAAGAGAAGGCUGGACUCAGACCAGAGGGGCCACUGUGAAAGCAGAGACGCACAGAGGCGGCUCCCACCCGAGAGGAGCCUCCGUCCCCGCCCGGGAGCUGCGACCCCCGUCCACACGGUGUCCCGUACCCUGGCGCCUCACGGGAUCGCCAGAGCCAGAUCCUGCAGCCUAGGCUGAGGCUGGGACUCACUGGGAGCCGCAGGGGACGGGGAUGGGAAACGAUGACCUCUCAAUCUUUGCUGGAAAAUCAGGCUGUGAGCGAGAGGAACGCUGCGCCCGGGACACAGUCGAGUGCCCCAGGUGACUCUAACCUCGGUUCCUGAACUAACCAGUCUCACCCCCUGUACAUCUGUGAAUUCUGAACUCGGCAUUUUUAAAGUAAAUGAAACCACCUGUUGCUCA